CCAGUGGAGAAAGAAAAUCAUACAAAAAUUCAAACAGGUUGGUAAAUCAUAAAUAAAAUCAAGGGUUCGAGGAGGAGGAAGAGGAGCAGGAAGGACAAGAGGAGGCGGCAGCUGUAGCGGGAGGCGGUGGCCCUGUAGCUGCCCCCGCCAGACGGAGACCAGACAGGAUCAAUAGUGGCAAUCCGCUCCCUCGCUCCCCUUGCUCUCUCUCUCUCUCUCUCUCUCUGUGUGUGUGUGUGUGUGUGUGUGUGUGUGUGUGUGUGUGUCCUGCCCUGUAGUCUCUCUCUCUCUCUCUCUCUCUCUCUCUCUCUCUCUCUCUCUCUCUCUCUCUCUCUCUCUCUCUCCCCUAGUUAAGUAUGCUUGUCCUGUGUUCCCCAAAUAUUAACAUUCCUCCACGUCGCGACGCCGCCACUUGCUGAAGGAAGCUGACGUGGGGACGGAAGGCGGAACACUGGGCUGCCAGAUGGUUGGCCACAGGUGGUUCACGGAGCAACAGGCAUCCAGCAGUGCCUCUAAGCAAACCACUUAACCACCCCCGAGGGAGAUUAGCGCACUAUGGUCAUGAUAAAAAAGGACCGUGUUGGACCGCAUCGCUUGUCCAUAUCCUUAUUAUGUAUGUAGGAAUCUUGUGUUAGUUUGUCCAUAUCCUUAUUAUGUAUGUAGGAAUCUUGUGUUAGUUUGAAGGCCAAUCUCAUCAGCACACACCUACACAUACAUAGCAUUCGUUAACGCACUCAAUACUUCCUACACACACUCAGAGCCUCACUCGCAGUCCCUUCCUCCUCGCCUUCACCAUCUGCUUGUAUUCAUUCCCACAAUCAAUACUCCUCACUGCCUGUAUUCCCUCCACCCGCGCCGCAUGAACCUUUUUACAACAAACCGGCAAUAUUCGAUAGCUGAACACUCCAUUAUCAGUAUUGCUUAGAACAGUGUGCGAGAUAUGAGAGCUACCAAAGAGAUCCGAGUAUAAUAUGGUGCAGGAAAAAUGUGUACCCAGUGGGCAAAAUGGCGACCCCGGCAUCACCCCGAAUGUACCGCGGAGGCAACGAGACCACAGCAUCCUCUCCUCUUCCAGCGAGGCGCUCAUCAUCGCACGCACUCCUGGAUCCCUCUCGUCGUUUUUGCUCAUCAACGCCGCGUCCCUGACCUUGGGAUCACCUGCUGAAGCCCCCGUCACAAGGAGCCUCGAAGGAACUCACACCGCCAGAAGAAAGGAGCAGCAGCCAGGGAGCGGGGGAAAUAGCAACGCUGGAAAAUACAUGAUCGCCAGCCAGCAACAAUGGAGGGAGGGUGGGAGGGUUGCUCACGGCCAAAAACACAUUUCCGCUCCACGUAGACUCUGCCAUCAACUGUGUAGUAUUUUUUUGUUCCUCCUUCCUCAUCCACUAAAUAAAGUUGGCUUCCAAAGUGGAAUGAUGGGACAAAAAAAUUCAGCUUUGACCACAAGAAGGGAACUAACUACAGCGCUAACAAAUCUUAUCCGAAGUUUUGUGACAGUUCUCGGAGGUAAACUAAACUUAUUUCAUGCGAUCGAAGUAUUAGGAGAAACAUUGGAGGCAAAAGGUUCCCCGGAGCGGCCGCCAUGGCUUCAUACACUGCCUGAUGUCUCUCAACCCAAGCGCUGCCACCAACAACCAGCACCAGGCAACUAUCUAGUCUAAACAUACAUUACUAUUCCAGGGACGAUAGAGCUAGGGGAGAUAACAGAUUUUAUAUAUAUGACCUAUAGAUUAUGGUCUGUUUAGUUAAUCGGGGAGGUUAUCUAGUGGCGCCAUACACUUAUAAGUUGGGUGAUGAGGGAGUGAGGGAAGGUUAUAAGUUGGGUGAUGAGGGAGUGAGGGAAGGUUAUAAGUUGGGUGAUGAGGGAGUGAGGGAAGGUUAUAAGUUGGGUGAUGAGGGAGUGAGGGAAGGUUAUAAGUUGGGUGAUGAGGGAGUGAGGGAAGGUUAUAAGUUGGGUGAUGAGGGAGUGAGGGAAGGGAGUGAAGACAAGAGGAAAGAGGAGGCAGUGUUGGUGUCUUGGGGAAACACGAUACACGCCGCGGGUAAGCCAACCUUCCGACCGCCUCUCACCACUCGCACAAGACACUCCGUCCACAGCUUGCCCUUCCCGAUGGUGACUUCCCACAUGUACGUACACACGCCCUGCCCUUUCAAAUAACGAGGAUGACUUCCCAACCACAGUCAUCUCAUUACUUUCGACACCUCAGCCCUGUUCUUCCCACUGACAAUGAAGGCUCCUACUCCCACCAUUUACGUUUUCAAUGAUGGUAGCCUCACCCCCUUCCCCUGUCCUUGCGAUGAUGAUGAUUACUUCCUAUACAAGACUUCUCCCAUGCGCUCAGUUCCUGCAUCUAGACAUCGUCGUUCUGGCACUUCGCUGUUAAUGUUGCUCAUGAUUCUCUUCCCGUUAGCAUUACCUCAUCCCUCUGCUGGAGUCACUCCCCUUCCACAAACAUCGUGUAGUUUAACGCAACCCCUUCAUGGAUCUGUGCACAAGCUAUUAAUUUCCUCCGCUGUCCCUUCACCCUCCUAUCAACUCCACUUAUAUAUAUGAUACGAUAAAACACUACCACAAUCAAGUGUUAAGUCAACAAGUCCCAUCCCUGCAAUACAUGCCCGAGGAGUACGGAGUAGGGAACCCCUGAAGUAUUCACGACUUACGAGCUCCUCCACGCCGCUUGCCGUUCCGCCCUGAUUAACACACAACCUAACCACUUCCAGGCUCGCCACGGGGUGCUCUCAGGAACCAUUACAGUGAUUUACUUCCAGGGAGUCUCCUAUUAACAUUUACCACAAGUUUUAUGACAUGACUGUGUUCGCCAAGUUGACUGACUGGGAGGACGAAGGUGUCACGUCUUCCCUGUUCUUAAUUUCACGCCCACUACAAGACACUGACAGGCCGUGACGUAAUGAGAUGCAAGCGAGAAACGUCUGCUGGCAGGCGCGGCAGACACGGACACGGGCCACCACUUGUAGGCCAGCAGAAGCAGCAGUCGCCGCCACCACUACCUCGGGGCUCGGGCCCUCUUCCGCCCUCCAGCGGAGACACCUGUGGCUACCUACAAUUAAUUAAGAAAGUUUCCGGUUUUCCUUGAGCGCUGGCGUUUCGAACAGUGAAACUAACCUACAAUUGUGGAACCCAGCGCCACAGCACUUGCCCGCGGAGGGAAACUCUACGGCACCAAAAUUAGUAUAAUUAAUCUGCUGAAUCUAAAGAGUAGCUAAGCUCCAUCAUUCUUGACUAAAAGCUAACCAACUCCAAACUGAAGAGUAUCAGCUGCGCCGUCCUGACACCAAGCCAUCUUCCUGCCAUUAUUACGGUACAUGAUUAUUGUAAAUGGUAAUCAGCCAAGCCACACCGUCCCGUCCCCAGACCACAGCGCCUGCGGCUCCACCAGCAGCACAAACACACGCGCUGGGGUGGUGGCACCAGCACCAGCAUGCUCGCACCCGCUGCUAGCUGUCCCGCCGCCGUCACUAUUGAUCGCGGCUAACGCUGGCAAAACACUGCUAACAAUACGGGAGGUGGAGGCGGCGGGCGAGGCAAGCACGGAUGAGCAACCCACCUGUUACGUGCCAUUAUUUCGCCCCCGCGUCGAGGCCAUGCGGAGCCUUCAACAUGCAGCGCCAGCCACACAGAGGCGCCCGCUGAGCGGCCCUGACGGGGCCUUGGCCAAGGAAACAAGGAGAUGAUUCCUCUCCCACCCGCCCAACCCCGCCCUGCAUCCCGCCCUUCGCCGCCAGCGCCAACCUUGACAAAUGCGAAGUUUCCUCUGCAUUUACAAGCGAGCGAUGCAAGCCUCAGUAAAUGCUUACAAGACAGCUGCCAAUAGCACUAAAUGUUUGCAAUACUGCAGGCAUUGUCAACCGGAUCAGUGGCUAAGUCAUCAGCAUGAACCCAGUCUUGGUGCCAGCCUCCACCAGUGGAAAAACCUCAUCAAGGCUUCACUUCAUAGCAAACCGGCUAUAUUCAUAACAAACACAGCCCGGGGAGGAGUUUCGGGUGCCGAGGAAUUCCCUCAGUUGAGAGACUGGAGGGAGCGAGGAGGGGACGGAGAUGCGAUCCUGUUACUGUAAACAUUCCUCCCGUGGGGCACAUUUGAGCCUGAACUGUUGACCAGUGUGUCCGAGGCAGCGCCGGCCUCUCGGGUGCCCCGCCCUCGCGUGGUGGCACUGGCCGGGCAGGGACGAGCUGCCACACGGCCAGGACCCGUGGUGUUGGGGGCAAAGGGCGAGGAUGAGAUUUCACGUACAAGUGUUGCACUUUUAAAAGGCUAAACAAGGGAUCUGAACCACGCUGUCGCCUCUGCCCUUCUUGUCUCCCCCUCGUGGGCAGCAUCAGUCCUGGCGGCCCCUUAAUUGCCUUCAGUGGCCAAUUAUUUCCUUACACACACACACACACACACACACGAUAAAUAUAUUAGCAUCGCAUAGUGCCACCCUAACUGACCCCUCCCUACCCCUCCAGCCGCCACCACCACUCGAGUGCCAUCUUCCCCUGCUCCCUCCCAUCCUCUCCCUCCACCCCCCCGACAAUCAACAAUGACUGCCAUUCCAACGCCCGACUUCCCUCCCGCCCUCUCUUCCUCGCUCGGUUAUCUCAGGCCACAUCUUCAUGACCCGCACCACUCACAUCAGCAGCUGCAACAACGCACCACCACAACCACCACCAAGAGCCACCGUCAGCACCAGCACCAGCGUGGCACCAUCUCAUUCCAACCACGAACGGAGCCACCUGUGGAGCACGCCAGCUUUCAGCCUCGUUCAGAUGAUGGCACCAAGAAAGAAAGCCCGGAGGAGGAUAAACCCAACCACGUCGCUGCCACGCUCCCUUGUGUAACCGGAGAGGCAUGAAGCUCCCUCCUCCUAUGCUACAGAUGCUCCUUUCUGUGUAGCGGCGGGGAGGAGGCGAGGGCAAGGCGGUGGAAAGGGAAAAAGGAAUGGUGGACGGGGCAGGAGAGCGGGACAGACCAGGGCAGGGAGGAUAACCAAGGAAAGGAAGGGCUCUGGGGCUGGGCUGGGAGGGUAGCAGGACGGGUAGGGCAGAGCAGGGCAGGGAGGAUCAAGGAAAGGAAGGACUCUGGGGCAGGGCUGUGGGGAGGGUGGGGGAGCAAGGGUAGAGCAGGAGGAUGAGUCAUGAUCAGAUGUUAGGCGACCAAGUGAAUAAUCAGCAGACUAGCUCACGCUCGUCCCUCCGACCCCACCAUUGUUCACUGCCAUACCCUCCCCAUCACUGAACGUUCAAUAUAAGCCUUCCACACACAUACAUCCACCGUCUCCACCAUACCACGGCCACUGUCAUCGCUCAUCCACACAAUGUUACAGUUAGCGUCGUCGCAACCCAUAACCCACAUAACCUAGCCCAGUCCCUCCCUUCAUCAACUCAAUCCACCCCACUCAGCUUUCAUACAUGUCUACAAAGAGCCACCACCACCACAGCAGAGGUCAUUCCCCAUCCACAACCACACACGCAAAGACCUCACCACAGCACCACCACUUCCAUAGCUUCCUCAGUUGCCGGCUACCACAUACACACGCUCACACAUACCUAUUGCUUACUUCCCUUCUACUACCAACAGACAAGACAGUCGCUAGUCCAUGACCACCAAACAAGAUAGGGUACAGCUGCCAGGCCUUCAGUUGUGUUUAGUUUUGGUGCGGGGUAAAAAGACACUUGGUACCCUUCGCUCCCCUCCACCCCACUACUACGGCCACCGCCCUACACAUUCCAGAGGCGCGACCACAAAAAACGGGACCAGCCAGGACGCGGAAAGGGGGAGCGCAGGGGGGGGGGGAGUGAGAUGGGGCGAGGGAGGGAGAGGAGAUGGGGUGAGGGAGGGAGGAAGGGACGCCGUUGCUGUGCCUGCCUCCUCUCUCUCUCUCUCUCUCUCUCUCUCUCUCUCUCUCUCUCUCUCUCUCUCUCUCUCA